rnacentral:rRNA from 1 species
AACGAACGCUGGCGGCAGGCUUAACACAUGCAAGUCGAGCGCCCCGCAAGGGGAGCGGCAGACGGGUGAGUAACGCGUGGGAACGUACCCUUUGCUACGGAAUAGCUCCGGGAAACUGGAAUUAAUACCGUAUGUGCCCUACGGGGGAAAGAUUUAUCGCCAAAGGAUCGGGCCGCGUUGGAUUAGCUAGUUGGGGGGGUAAUGGCCUACCAAGGCGACGAUCCAUAGCUGGUCUGAGAGGAUGAUCAGCCACAUUGGGACGGAGACACGGCCCAAACUCCUACGGGAGGCAGCAGUGGGGAAUAUUGGACAAUGGGCGCAAGCCUGAUCCAGCCAUGCCGCGUGAGUGAUGAAGGCCUUAGGGUUGUAAAGCUCUUUCACCGGAGAAGAUAAUGACGGUAUCUGGAGAAGAAGCCCCGGCUAACUUCGUGCCAGCCGCCGCAGUAACAC